UCGUCCUACGGGAGGCAGCAGUUAGGAAUAUUCGGCAAUGGGGGAAACCCUGACCGAGCAAUGCCGCGUGUGAGAUGACGGCCCUAUGGGUUGUAAAUCACUUUUAUUUGGGAAGAAAUGUAGAUAUAGGAAAUGAUGUCUACUUGACGGUACCUUUUGAAUAAGCCCCGGCUAACUACGUGCCAGCAGCCGCGGUAAUACGUAGGUGGCGAGCGUUAUCCGGAUUUACUGGGUGUAAAGGGCGUGUAGGCGGGAAUGCAAGUCAGAUGUGAAAACUAUGGG
rnacentral:rRNA from 1 species